AUUGAACGCUGGCGGCAGGCCUAACACAUGCAAGUCGAACGAGUGGCGGACGGGAGAGUCACGUCUGGGAAACUGCCUGAUGGAGGGGGAUAACUACUGGAAACGGAAGCUAAUCCCGCAUAGCAUCAGAUCUGCCCAGAUGGCAUUCGCUAGUUGGUGGGGUAAAGGCUCACCAAGGCCAAGAUCCCUAGCUGGUCUGAGAGGAUGACCGGCCACACUGGAACUGAGACACGGUCCAGACUCCUACGGUAGGCAGCAGGGGGGAAUAUUGCACAAUGGGCGAAAGCCUGAUGCAGCCAUGCCGGGUGUAUGAAGAAGGCCUUCGGGUUGUAAAGUACUUUCAGCAGGGAGGCGGUACCCGCAGAAGAAGCACCGGCUAACUCCGUGCCAGCAGCCGCGGUAAUAC
rnacentral:rRNA from 1 species